rnacentral:tRNA from 1 species
GCGCUGGUGGCGAAAUUGGUAGACGCACUGUCUUCAGGUGGCAGCGCCUUCGGGUGUGGGAGUUCGAGUCUCCCCCAGCGCACAA